rnacentral:rRNA from 1 species
GAUGAACGCUGGCGGCGUGCCUAAUACAUGCAAGUCGAGCGAACGGACGAGAAGCUUGCUUCUCUGAUGUUAGCGGCGGACGGGUGAGUAACACGUGGAUAACCUACCUAUAAGACUGGGAUAACUUCGGGAAACCGUAGCUAAUACCGGAUAAUAUUUUGAACCGCAUGGUUCAAAAGUGAAAGACGGUCUUGCUGUCACUUAUAGAUGGAUCCGCGCUGCAUUAGCUAGUUGGUAAGGUAACGGCUUACCAAGGCAACGAUGCAUAGCCGACCUGAGAGGGUGAUCGGCCACACUGGAACUGAGACACGGUCCAGACUCCUACGGGAGGAAGCAGUAGGGAAUCUUCCGCAAGGGGCGAAAGCCUGACGGAGCAACGCCGCGUGAGUGAUGAAGGUCUUCUGAUCGUAAAGCUCUGUUAUUAGGGAAGAACAUAUGUGUAAGUAACUGUGCACAUCUUGACGGUACCUAAUCAGAAAGCCACGGCUAACUACGUG